rnacentral:lncRNA from 1 species
AUGAUCCUACUGGGGAAGCACAUUUUAGAUAAUUUUCCCAAAUGUCUUUAUAGGUUAUACUUCCAGAGAACCUGUUGCAACACAGCGUACAGAGACCACUGUCACUUGGGAUUCACCAGGUUAUACUUCCAGAGAACCUGUUGCAACACAGCGUACAGAGACCACUGUCACUUGGGAUUCACCAGGUAAGUUACCAACCAAAGGAGAUGGGUAAUAGAUUUCCAGCCAUUAGCAUCAUAUCUGUGUAUUUAAUAAGCACCUAUC